GCGCAACCCUGCGUACGGGCACUGCCUGCUUCGCCCCACAGAGCUGGGGCAGCCGCAGCAUCACAGCUGCAGGCACUGACGUGGCUCAGUGGUUUUGGAGAGGAAGAUAAGAAAACCACCAGCGUUUGCUAUUGUGCUGGCAGUGUGAGGAGAAAGAGAGAGCUCUUGUGGCUGAGGCACUGCUGGGCAGUCCAGGGGCUGCCCCUUUGGGGUCCGGGGCAGUGCAAGGGCAGCACGGGGGGGUCCCCAUGUCUUCCUGCCAGCCCCAGAGGGAGGUGGGGGGGCUCAGGGCUUCCUGCAGAGCCAAACCCGGUGGUCCCCAGUGGGGGGACAAGCCCUGAGCAGGACUUCCUUCACUGGAGCACAGCACGGUGGGUGAGAUGGGAUGGGGGGGUAAGGCUCUGGAUACAAGAGGUCUCAGUUGCGUCUCCUGCCCCCAGGCCAGCGGCUGCACUGCGGAGGGAAGAAGAAGAGGAGACAAGGAAACGAGGAAGACUUGUAGCUGCAGAGCCGCAAUGCCACUGUGGACGCAGAGCUUCUUCCAAAGCAGGAAAGUCCUUGCCAAGGGCCACUCCUUACCCCGCUCCAGUGGAUCCAUUACCCUGCUCACCCCGGAUGGGACCAGAACGCAAAUUGCCCUCGUGCUUUCCCCUCUGUUAGAUCCAGCGAGUUUCUUGGCUAAUAAAGUUCAAGCUGAGCGAGGUUAAACUUUGUGCCUGCGGCAUCUGAAUGGGCCACUCUCCUGGCCCCGCACCAGUGACUUUUCUGCCCUGCGGACAUCUUCCAACACAGUCCCAGGAACUGUUUCUGCCGGCCCUUGCACACACGUGGAGCAUGGAGCAGCUGCUGACUCUGCUCUGGGUUUGCUCCUGGGCCUGUGGAGGGAGGGACAUUCCUGCUUCCAGCCAUCCCGGCUGCUCUGAAGGAACUCCCCUCUCGGCAGCAUGUGCGCUGGCUGUGGAUGCCUGAAUCCCGUGACGUGUGCUUCCCUUGGGAUGCUCAGGGUGGACUGUGCAGGAUGCAGGCAAUGUCAGAUGCAGAAGCAGGCGUGUAUGGGGCUGCUUGUGCGUUUUUGUUUUCUUGGAAUGCGUGAUCCUGGUGCCCUUCAUGGGCAAGAAUAGGGCUGGGAUGGUGCAUCCAGCCUGGGUUCCUGCUGCAGGAGGAUGUGGUGUCACAGCCUUCUGCAAGCCCGGCCACCCUGGCGCUGCUGGUGGAGUUGAAGCCAGCUUGCCUGGUCCAUUUGGGCUUCGACUGAGGUCUGACAUUGACCGUAAAACAGGAUUAACUGGGGGGAGGUUAUUAGACCAAAUCUGUGCAAUUUGUCUAAUCUGAGGUGCUUAUUUAACACCCUAAGGAGAUUAUUUUGAAAUAUAAUUUUGACUUGACACUGACCCA
rnacentral:lncRNA from 1 species